ACCUAGUCCCACCACGCCCCCAAGGGUACUCAGCAGUGAUAAACAUUGUAUAUAAGCGCCAGCUUGACCCAGUUAAAGGGAAGAGAGCCGGCCAACUUGGUGCCAGCCGCCGCGGCUAAACCAACUGGACUCAAAUUGAUACCCCCCGGCGUUAAGCGUGAUUAAAGCCACCUACUAAUUAGAGUUAAACCUACGUUGAGCAGUGAAAAGCACACGACAGGGAAACCCAAAAACGAAAGUUACUCUAAUCUCUGCUGGAAUACACGACAGCUAAGAUACAAACUGGGAUUUGAUACCCCACUAUGCUUAGCCGUAAACUAUCCACCCACACCCAACCCACGCCAGGGAACUACGAGCCUUAGCUUAAAACCCAAAGGACUUGACGGUGUCCCACCCAACUAGAGGAGCCUGUUCUAUAAUCGAUGAUCCCCGCUUCACCCAACCCCCUCUUGCUUUAUCAGCCUGUAUACCUCCGUCGCAAGUCCGCCAUAUGAAUGCUCUUAAGCGGAUUCAAUGGGUCCCCCCCCCCACCAACACGUCAGGUCAAGGUGCAGCCAAUGAGGGCGGUAAGUAAUGGGCUACAAUUUCUAAUUUAGAACAAACGGAAUACUGUAUGAAAUACAGUUAUGAAGGAGGAUUUAGCAGUAAAAAGAAAGUAGCGUGUUCUUUUUAACACGGCCCUGGGACGUGUACACA
rnacentral:rRNA from 1 species